GAGUUUGAUCCUGGCUCAGGAUGAACGCUAGCGGCAGGCCUAACACAUGCAAGUCGAACGGUAACAGGAAUUAGCUUGCUAAUUUGCUGACGAGUGGCGCACGGGUGCGUAACGCGUAUGCAAUCUACCUUGUACUGGAGUAUAGCCCAGGGAAACUUGGAUUAAUCCUCCAUAGUCCAUUGAUAUGGCAUCGUAUUAAUAGUAAAGGUUACGGUACAAGAUGAGCAUGCGUCCUAUUAGCUAGUAGGUGUGGUAACGGCACACCUAGGCAACGAUAGGUAGGGGUCCUGAGAGGGAGAUCCCCCACACUGGUACUGAGACACGGACCAGACUCCUACGGGAGGCAGCAGUGAGGAAUAUUGGACAAUGGGCGGGAGCCUGAUCCAGCCAUGCCGCGUGCAGGAAGACUGCCCUAUGGGUUGUAAACUGCUUUUAUACGGGAAGAAUAAGUGUUACGUGUAGCACGAUGACGGUACCGUAAGAAUAAGCACCGGCUAACUCCGUGCCAGCAGCCGCGGUAAUACGGAGGGUGCAAGCGUUAUCCGGAAUCAUUGGGUUUAAAGGGUCCGUAGGUGGACUAAUAAGUCAGUGGUGAAAGUCUGCAGCUUAACUGUAGAAUUGCCAUUGAUACUGUUGGUCUUGAAUUGUUGUGAAGUAACUAGAAUAUGUAGUGUAGCGGUGAAAUGCAUAGAUAUUACAUAGAAUACCGAUUGCGAAGGCAGGUUACUAACAAUAUAUUGACACUGAUGGACGAAAGCGUGGGGAGCGAACGGGAUUAGAUACCCUGGUAGUCCACGCCGUAAACGAUGGUUACUAGCUGUC
rnacentral:rRNA from 1 species